rnacentral:rRNA from 1 species
UACGUAGGGCGCAAGCGUUAUCCGGAAUUAUUGGGCGUAAAGAGCUCGUAGGCGGUUUGUCGCGUCUGCCGUGAAAGUCCGGGGCUCAACCUCCAGCCUGCAGUGGGUACGGGCAGACUAGAGUGCGGUAGGGGAGAUUGGAAUUCCUGGUGUAGCGGUGGAAUGCGCAGAUAUCAGGAGGAACACCGAUGGCGAAGGCAGAUCUCUGGGCCGUAACUGACGCUGAGGAGCGAAAGCAUGGGGAGCGAACAGG